UACAGGGGGGGGCAAGCGUUGUUCGGAAUUACUGGGCGUAAAGGGUCUGUAGGUGGCCAACUAAGUCAGACGUGAAAUCCCCUCAGCUUAACUGGGGAACUGCGUCUGAUACUGGAUGGCUCGAGUGUGGGAGAGGAAUGCGGAAUUCCAGGUGUAGCGGUGAAAUGCGUAGAUAUCUGGAGGAACACCGGGUGGCGAAGGCGGCAUUCUGGACCAUAACUGACACUGAGAGACGAAAGCCAGGGGAGCAAACGGGG
rnacentral:rRNA from 1 species